UACGGAGGGGGCGAGCGUUAUUCGGAAUUACUGGGCGUAAAGGGCGCGUAGGCGGCCUGCUAAGUCGAACGUGAAAUCCCUGGGCUCAACCCAGGAACUGCGUCCGAUACUGGUUGGCUUGAAUCCGGGAGAGGGACGUGGAAUUCCAGGUGUAGCGGUGAAAUGCGUAGAUAUCGAGAGGAACACCUGCGGCGAAGGCGGGUAGCUGGGCCGACACUGACGCUGAGGCGCGAAAGCCAGGGGAGCGAACGGG
rnacentral:rRNA from 1 species